GACGAAGGAUGCAAGCGUUAUCCGGAUUCAUUGGGUUUAAAGGGAGCGUAGGUGGCCUUAUAAGUCAGUGGUGAAAUCCCGCAGCUUAACUGUGGAGUUGCCAUUGAUACUGUAGGGCUUGAGUACAGAUGCCGUUGGCGGAAUAUGACAUGUAGUGGUGAAAUACAUAGAGAUGUCAUAGAACACCGAUUGCGAAGGCAGCUGACGAAACUGUAACUGACACUGAGGCUCGAAAGUGCGGGGAUCAAACAGG
rnacentral:rRNA from 1 species